AGGAGGGGAGGGAGUACCUGAUGAGGAGUGUGGAUUCGUGGCUACCUGCCCUGAAACAGUGACGCUCCACCCAGCAGAGAGGACAUAGAGGAGGAACACACACAGAGUGACAUCCCACCGUAUGAAUCUCGCAUCACCACGGCCAAACUCCUCAUAGAGGCAGAAGAGUACGAGCAGUAGAUGUGUUGGAGGGUCUACUAGAGGAAGAUGAUGAGGUUGUGCAG